GUCUAUAGCCAUACCACCCUGAACACACUUGAUCUCAUAUAAUCUCCGAAACUAAACAGCGUUGGGCCUCGUUACUACUUAGAUGGGAGAAGUAGGUAACAGUCUGUC
rnacentral:rRNA from 1 species